UUUGCCUUUGACGGUUUCUAUUAUACUUUGACUUUGAACGAUUUUGCAAUUUCCGACCAUAUCUUUUGCUUUUUUCUCCAGUUUUAGAAAAAAAAUAGUCGUUCAAAAUUGGUUUUACGUUUUCUUGUGCGGCGCGAUGAGCGCGUAUGUUCAGUAAUUAAGAUUUUAGGCUGGUCAUUUGGAUCGAAUAUAUCAAUCACAAAUUUCUUGGCGUAUUUAAACUUCGUAUUUGGAAAUAAUUUUAUGUUGAAUGUAACAUCAUGUUCCGACGGAAAAAUAGAAGUAAUUAGAUUACAUUUAAACGCUUAACAAAACUGCCCUAUUCUCACUGCCGUUGGAAAUUUACGAAUCAGCUGUUUUUGGCAUUCAGGCAUAAACACAAAUAUUAUUAUAUAAAUACAAAGUAUUUAUUAAAGGAAAAUAUUGUAAUGUCGUACUUUGUUAUAAAAAUUUUCCUUUUUUUAUAAAUAUUAUUAUUGAGGAAUUGUUUGAUUUGAACCGCUUAGCAAUGAAACGUUCGUUGCAUGCACACAUAAUACUCAACAUGGAGCAACUUCAACAAGGUCUAUUUGGAUGAAGACUCGUGGCCAAAUGUUUUGAGAAGUCGAUUGCCAGGUGAAUUCAGAUGCAUUUUUUAAAAGCAACUUCCGAAUCAAGCGCAAAUCCUUAAAUAAAUUGUGUAUUAUGUUGAAAGGCUUGGAGAAGAAAACCACUAACUACCGGAAAACAAUUCAAUUAGAAAAACGCAUUGCUUUAUUGCAAUUGGAAAUAUGUUCGGAAUUGGAAAAAGCACUGUCUGCUCCAUUCUAAUUGAGUUCUGCCAUGAAGUUUGGCGAUGUUUGUGGCCAUUGUAUUUGAAGAAACUCCCAACUAACGAAUUUCAAUCCCAACUAACGAAUUUCAAUUGCGAGAGUAUAUAAAUGGUUUUGAAUCAUUGGGUUUCCUUCAAGUGUUAGGAGCUAUAGAUGAUUGUCAUAUAGAAGUUCGCCCCGCGGCAGAAGAUGCUGUUGACUACUACAAUUACAAAGGCUGGUAUUCCAUAGUUUUUUUGGCUUUAGUAGAUGCAAGAUGCCGCAUUAUAUACAUCAACGUUGGUAGUCCAGGCCGUUGUAAUGACUCUUCAAUAUUUGAGAGUUCAUUUUUAAAAAGCCAGUUGGCACAAUCUAGUUUAUUAUAGACAUGAGUAGACAAAUUUCGUCAAGUAAUGCCUCAGUAGUUUUAUUGGGCGUCUCUUCGUUCAAAUAAGAUGAACAUUUGAUGAAACCCUACCCUUUUCGUAUAAAUCAACCUUUGGAUAAAAAAAAACUUAACUAUGUUCUCUCGAAAUGUCGAAGAGUGGUGGAGAAUGCUUUCGGUCAUUUAAAGGCAAGGUUUAGACGGUUUGGCAAAGGCUUGGAUAACCACAUAGUCAACAGGAGAGAGAUCAAAACACGCUGCGUUUUGCACAACUUUUUAAAUGAGGUAAAUGUUGAAAUUAAUGAAAAGUGGAUUUCAGCACAACAAUCCAAAACGAAACUCGGCAGUUACCAGGAAACGUCUCCUACGUUUGUGGAAAUGUUAACUCAAGAGCUGAAUAAAUAAGACAAGAGUUUGUUUCACAUUUCGGUCAAUUAUUACAUUCACCUUUGAAAUUAUUUAUUUAUUUAUUCUUA